GAAUAUAAGUCGCUCGCUAACUCCUCCGUCCGCUAAAGUUGUCGCGCAACUUCGCGUCGGACAGAGUUGGGACCAAACAGCAAACAUGGCGGGUGACCACCGCUUGUUUACACCCGAAACCUGGAAGAAUUGGGACAAGACGGGACGAGCGGAGGCUUUACAGGUCAUUAAAGACUUCAUCCAAGAUGAUCCAGACAACCCAGGGUUUUCUCAGCCAGAGGAAGCUGCAGAUUUAUCUCGAGCUUUGUAUGAAAUUUUAUCAGCUUUCCUGAAAGGAAGCUUAAGGAGAGAACAUGCAAGACCAUUUUUUGCAGAAAUUAUCAACCUACAUCCAGACUUGGCAUCACAGUUGGUGGAGGUCUCGAUGCUACUUGACUUAGAAAACUCGGCUACAGAUCGCAUGGGAAAAAACAGGGAGCCUUUGAUGGCUCUCUUGAAGAGUCUAGAAACAGAUAAAUUGCUGAAGGAGAGACUGGAAAUUGAGACCCUAGGAGAAGCUGGUGUAGUCAAGAACAAAAAAACAUUUCACACAAGACAGAUUAAAGUCAAGACUAAGUUAUUCGCUCCCUCAUUCAGUCUCAAGUCAGCUGGGCGUGACGUCACCGCGGUUACCUACAAACAGCAAAAAUUCAAUCUGCUGCGUGAAGAAACAGAAGGUUAUGCCAAACUUGUCACUGAACUCAAUGAGGACAUAACUGAUAGAGUUACCCCAAAGUCUAUGAUACAGAUCAUAAGAAGUUUGAUUGGUGGGUUUAACCUUGAUCCAAAUCGUGUAUUAGACUUGAUUUUAGAAUCUUUGGAAUGCCGUCCACAUCACCAUGAGUUUUAUACAGGCUUACUUAAACUCUAUCCCUGUGAGUCCUCUACAAUCAGUGAACUGCUGGGCUUCAAGUUGAAUUCAUACGGGCUAAACGGGAGAACGGGAAAGGGAAUAUACACAACUAUAGCACUGCUAAUCCAAGCCAAUAUUUUGCAGUUUAGUGACAUAUACAAAUGGCUAACACCAGAAGAUUCAUCUAUGAUUGAGGACUACCAGAGGGAAGAGAGUGAAGCCAAGGAAAUUGCCAUGAAGAUCCACAUUGUUUCUACCAAAGAUAAAGAUAAGGAUAACAAAGAUAAAGAAAGGGAAGAUGACGAGAGAGAAAGAGAGGAGAUGAGAAAUAUGGAGAAGUUCUACACUAAUCAGAAAGUUCAGCUUUGCAUUGCGCUCUUAGAGGUUGGUGCUUGGGACAAUUUCAACGAACUCUCCCGGCGGUUUCCUGACUACUACCUUGUCUCCUGCCCUCCCAUAAGUCAGGCGCUCUGCAAGCUCAUCCAUGCGACUAUUGAGCCAAUGUAUCGCAAGGUGUGCGUCCUCCCAAGUCGUCUGAAAGGGACAGUAGUGGAACUGAUCAACAAUUCCCUAGCUCCACCACCUGCUUACACAUUUGAAGAUGUUUGCAACACCAUAUUCCCCAUGUUGUGUGCCCUGGGACCUCAUGUUUAUCAUGAUCCAGGGCUAAUGUACAAAGUGCUUAGGAUUGCCAAGGUGGCUCUGAAACAGGUUACAAUAAGUGGAGAUAAUAUGCGGCAAGACUUCUACUACGAAUUCCUUACUGUGCUGGAUGAGGUGCUACUCCCUGCGCUGUCAGUUCUUGAUUCAAAUCCAUGUCUAGCCGAAGAAAUCUGGGAGGUUCUCAAAGUUUACCCAUACCAGCAUAGGUACAAAAUUUAUGGUCGCUGGAAAAAUGAGACUCAUGCGCAGCACCCCAUAUUAAUCAAAGCUAAAGCCAGACUCCUCAAAAAAGCAAAGUUUAUCAUGAUGAGAAUCACCAAAGAAACCAUCAAGCCGGUCAGUCGUGGCAUCGGCAAGUUGACCCACAAUAAUCCAGGACCGAUUUUCCACUAUAUCCUGAUUCAGGUUCAACUCUAUGACAAUUUAAUAGGACCUGUUGUUGAUAGCUUCAAGUACCUGACUUCACUGUCUUAUGAUAUGCUUGCAUAUUGUAUCGUGGAAAUCUUGUCCGAAAACAAAGACAGAACAGCUAAUGAUGCUAUGGCCAUAUCUCCGUGGUUGCAGUCCCUGUCUAACUUCUGUGGCACAGUCUUCAAAAAGUACCCCAUGGACCUUGGUGGUAUACUACAGUUUGUAGCUAAUCAGUUGAAGUGUGAGAAGUCCAUAGAUCUUCUCAUAUUAAGAGAAAUAGUUCAGAAGAUGGGUGGCAUAGAUACUCUUGAGGAUCUAACAUCAGAGCAGCUUGAUGCGAUGUGCGGUGGUGAACUACUGCGUCGUGAAGCAGGGCAGUACCAGCAGGAACGAAACAUAAAAAGGUCCUCUGUAAGAUUGAAGGAGGCCCUUCUGGAGAACAACCUUGCCAUACCUUUAUUGCUGCUAAUGGCGCAACAGAGAAGUUCAGUUGUUUACAACCAGACAGAAUCACCUCACCUGAAACUUGUUGGAAAACUGUACGAUCAGUGCCAAGACACAAUGGUUCAGUUUGGUUCGUACCUCUUCCAAAUGGUCACCAUAGAUGAACUGAGCGACAGACUCCCUAGCAUUGGAACCCUGUUAUCUGACUGCCAUAUUAAUGCUGAUGUAGCAUUCUUUUUGGCUCGGCCAUUAUUCACAAAUAUGUUAAAUUUGAAAUAUGAUGAAUUGAGAAGACAGGACAGAGGUGAAAAGAAAUUGACAAUCGAACAGAAGAAAAAACGUUAUUUGGAAGCAUGCAAUGAGGUGUUUGGACCCAUAGUUGUAAAAAUAAGACCUCAUUUUAGUUGUAAGGUUUGGGAGGACAUGGACCCAUCCUUUUUCCUUACUUUCUGGACACUCACAAUGUCAGACCUAGAGGUACCAACUCACAUAUAUGAAAAGGAGAUCAAGAAGAUUGAUAUCAAUCCCUCCUCCAGCAAAAGAAAAAAGGACACUGACCGUCUAGUAUCUCUCAGAGAAAAACUACAGGAGGAAGAGAAGAGACAAAAGGAGCACGUAGAGCGCGUUCGUGCCAGAUUACAGCAGGAAAAGGACAAGUGGUUCAUGUUACGGGCUGCGAGGUCACCCAAAAACGAUACCGUCACUGCAUUUUUGCAGUUGUGUCUGUUCCCACGCUGCACUUUCACUGCACUGGACGCCGUGUAUUGUUCCAAGUUUGUCAAGAUGCUGCAUGACCUGAAAACGCCAAAUUUUUCCACUUUAAUCUGUUAUGAUCGGAUGUACUGUGACAUUACCUAUACCGUAGCAUCGUGUACAGAACAAGAAGCAAAUAGGUAUGCCAGAUUUCUGCUGGGAACUCUCGAGACAGUCAUGCACUGGCACGCUUCCCAGUCCAAUUAUGAGAAGGAGUGUGCAAAUUACCCAGGAUUUGUCACAAAGUACAGAGUAUCUCGGCAGGAAGCAAACGAUUACGUGGACUAUGAGAAUUACCGACAUGUAGUGCAUAAAUGGCAUUACAAAAUAACAAAGGCAUUAGUUACCUGUUUAGAAAGUGGAGACUACAUCCAGAUUCGAAAUGCCAUUCUGAUUCUCCAGGGAAUCCUGUCACGUUUCCCUGCUAUUACAAAUUUGGCAGCAGUGAUCGAGAAGAGAAUAGAAAAGGUCAAAAAUCAAGAAAAGAACCGUCGGAAUGAUCUGUACGUCUUGGCAAACAGUUACUCGGGAAGACUGAAAGCCGCAAAGUCUACUCUCAUGCCUGAAACGGACUUCCACAUAGUCCCGAAACGUACCCCACCGGCAAACAAGGUAGUGAAUGGGACGACAGAAAAGGCACAAGCAGCAACUAAUAAAGGAGAUGGGAAGACAGGUGGCGAAGUGACAGAAAACGAUAAAGAAGCAAAGGUGGAAUCAACUGAAGCUACAAACGGAGAUGUUGACAUGAAAGAGGAAAAGAGAGAAACUAGAUCAGGGAGAAAGGAGGGUGACGAUAAAAAGGACAGCGAGGCCAAGAAAGAUGACAAGAAGGAUGAUCCCAAAAAGAAGACCAAAGAUGGUAAACGGGCAAAGCCGGAUGAGGAAGAUGAGGCGGUUGAAGCUGACAUAGAACGAGAGGGCAGUGUUGUGUCUAAUUCAUCCUCGUCAUCAGUUAAGAUGGAGCCCCCGGAAGGGUCUACGAGAGGGAAAUGUAGUGCUGCAUCAAAUUCAUAUGAUGAAGAAAAUCCAAACAAGAAUAUUCUUUAGACUUUAUUAUCUCAAUAGUACACCAUUGUGUGAAUUAAAGAAAAUCUUGUUAAAAUAUGAACCAUUUGUAACUAUUGUAAACAUCACAUGCAAAAUAUGAGACUGGACUUUGAUCCAAGGGUCAAAACGCCGUAAGACGGAGGCUAACUCGAAGGUCAGUAUGAGCGUUGAAUGUGACCAGUAAUUAUAUUUAAACCGUUUAGAAUUGAAGGGCCGGUGUUUCACAGUGAAGAAGUAUCAGUCAUACCCCUCCAAAUUGUAACCAUCAUAGUUAUGGCUUCCCAUAUUGCUGCUGCCACCAGUGCUUCACCCUGAUGUGCUGCGGUACAAGUGUUCAUCCCACGACAGGCAGUCAAAUGACGUUUAUUCAAAAACUGAGGAAACAAUAGUUAAGGGUGGGAAAGAAGCCGAUCUUUUCUUUUAAACUUCAGUGGAUUAAUAUUUUCGGAUUAAUCGUAGGUGUCCUGGCAAUACCUAUUCGUUACUCAACUUGAAUGUGGACAGUGAAGCCGUUUCCAGUGUUAUUUUUAAUAAUGAAAAUGAAAUAAUUCAUUUCUUGCUUUGGGAAGGAAACUUUUAUUAAGAUAAAAAAAAAAAAAAAAAAAAGUCCAGAUGUCUAUAUGUGCUGAGACAGGAAGUACAUCCAGAACUUCUUGAAGUGAUGUAUCCUAUUUAGAAAGUACAGUGGAAAAAGCCGCAUAAAGUUUGUUCGUCCCAUUUUCCUAAGUACCCGAGACUAGAUAAUCGAUGCCACAACACUCCAAGCUAUGCCAGCGGACAUUGUUUAAUAAGCCUACUUCGUGAUCUCUUCGUGUAAGUCCAUGUCGCCGAUUGACAGCGCAAGGCUGGUGACUCAAGAGACAGCAGGACUGCAGAGUGAUGUCUUAACUUGUCAGCAUGAUUUUUCUCAGGAUUUCAUCUCCCGCAAAGUUCUUCUGACACAAGCUCCUGAGCCAACCACGUGCAAGCGCCUUCCCCCUCCACCGCGUGCAGGGAACUUACUGUACAUGUUCCACCAUAUGCAAAAUUUAACUCAAGUUUGAAGAAGGCAAUAGGCUGAAUAGGAACAUCACCACACUACUACUAUAUUUUUUGUAUUGUGGCAUCUCAAUAAAUAGACGACUUAGCACAUC